GAUGAAGAACGUAGCGAAAUGCGAUAAGUAAUGUGAAUUGCAGAAUUCAGUGAAUCAUCGAAUCUUUGAACGCACAUUGCGCCCGCUAGUAUUCUGGCGGGCAUGCCUGUCCGAGCGUCAUUUCAACCCUCAAGCCCCCGGGCUUGGUGUUGGGGAUCGGCGAGCCUCCGCGCCCGCCGUCCCCUAAAUCUAGUGGCGGUCUCGCUGUAGCUUCCUCUGCGUAGUAGCACACCUCGCACUGGGAAACAGCGCGUCCACGCCGUUAAACCCCCAACUUCUGAACGUUUGACCUCGGAUCAGGUAGGAAUACCCGCUGAACUUAAGCAUAUCAAUAAGCGGAGGA
rnacentral:misc_RNA from 1 species